CCUGGUGACAAUGGCGGAGAGGCCACACCCGUUCCCAUCCCGAACACGGCAGUUAAGCUCUCCUGCGCCGAUGGUACUGCAGCUUCCUGUGGGAGAGUAGGUCGUCGCCAGGA
rnacentral:rRNA from 1 species